GAGCACGCGCGUGUGGCAUAUCAAUAAGCGGAGGAAAAGAAACUAACAAGGAUUCCCUUAGUAACGGCGAGUGAAGCGGGAAGAGCUCAAAUUUGAAAUCUUCAAGGUUUUACCUUGACGAAUUGUAGUUUAAAGAAGUGUUUUCGGUUAGAGGAGUGGCUAAAAGUUCUUUGGAAUAGGACAUCAUAGAGGGUGAGAAUCCCGUAUUUGUACCAUUCUCUUCUAGCUUUGUGAUACACUUUCAACGAGUCGGAUUGUUUGGGAAUGCAGUCCAAAAUGGGUGGUAAAUUUCAUCUAAAGCUAAAUAUUGGCGAGAGACCGAUAGCGAACAAGUACCGUGAGGGAAAGAUGAAAAGAACUUUGAAAAGAGAGUUAAACAGUACGUGAAAUUGUCAAAAGGGAAGCGUUUGACACCAGUGUUGUUUUUCCGAAAAUCAAUUACGAAUGUUUUAUUUUUGAGGAGUUAUGACUUCAUCGGCUUGCUCCUUUCUUUAUGAAACUUUCUUAAUGCACUUUUCGGUUAACAAGUCAACAUCAAUUUCUUUUGUUGUAAAAGGGUAUGAGGAAGGUGGCUUUCUUUUCGGAGAAAGUGUUUAUAGCCUUGUGCCUCUGCAAUCGGAGAGAUUGAGGUCUGCAGCGUAGAUCCUUCGGGGUUAGAUACAUUUGUGCUAAGUUAUAGCUUUUCAUAGACAACUUGUUGACUAUGUUUAGUCUUGUAGCUUACUCGCUGACGCUAUUUUACCUACGCUUAGGAUGUUGAACUCUAUCACACACAG
rnacentral:rRNA from 1 species